rnacentral:lncRNA from 1 species
ACACACCACCACUCCCUGUCCCUCUGGAGGGCCACUGGUCCUGCCACAUUGGACUCAGCUGUCAGCUGCAGAAGCCCACAAACACUGGGCAUGUUACCUAAGCAGAACCCUGCAAAGUUCCAAGCCAGGCUCAUGACUCAGUGGGGGAAGCAGUGUUUCUCCCUGAAUCAGCCCCAGCCAGGCCACAUCUGAGGCUUAGCCCAGCCAAGAGUCCAGCCACUGCCCAGCUGCCUGUGGACACACGGGCCCUGUGCUGUCUCAGCUGAGAGGUCCCCAUCUACUGACUCACUCGCACCUGGGGCUUCUUGGCUGGUCAUCUGGAAAGGUACAAACUGAAGUUUUCUUUAUCCAAGGCAAUCUUUUAGAAGUCACCCUACGUUUCUUCAAAGUGUCUGGACGCAGUGUGGAGCGUGGUUUAUUUCGUCCAUGUUGCGGCAGCCUGUGUUGGAACUCGCUGAGGUUUGAAGCCUGUCAUCAACAUACAGACUGACAUGAACUUUCAAUGGGAGUCACAGAGGGCUGUACGGGCAAACAGGAGAAAUGACAGGGUACCAAAGACCGCCCUGUCAGCUGAAGGGCACCCUGGAUGCCUGUCUCUGAGCCCUCACACUCCUGUAACCUGUGAAGAGUGGGCAAGCAGAACAGGUGAUGGGUCAUGCAUCUUCCUGACACACUGUGAAGCAGGAAGAAACAGGAACAGUAGCUCUGUGUUACACGUGAGGAGCGAGAAGCACCAACAUGGUUGCUGUCCUGGAACUCACAAAGCAGGCUGCCUGGGCUUGCCAGGGAAGCCCCAGGAAUCUGCCUGUCUCCAUCGUCAUCUCCCCAGUACUGGAGUUACAAGUGUGAGCCAACGCAACUGGCCUUUUCCCAUUGGCUCUGGGGAUGGACUCAGAUCCUCAGGCACUUGCCUGACUGGGCUUCCCUCUUCAGCCCCUUUCUUCCACAAUUCUUAGAUCAUUAUAAGUAAAACGUUAUUAGUGAAUAUGUAUCAUGUUUUUCUCAUGUAUUAUUGUUGUAUUAUUAUAUACGGAUAUAUCAUCAGAGACUCAUAAGAAUAUAAAAGAAAAAGUUACAGUUAUAUGCUCAGACAUUAGCAUUGGUUGUAACUGAUGUUGAGAUUGGAGAACAUUAUUUCCUUAUUUUGUGUUCUCUUAUACAUAACUUUGUAACACAAACAACAAAGACACUGCAAACAUGGAUCUGGCACAGGGUACUUCCCUGACUUAAGUACAAAAAAGAAAUUAAAUUUAAUAUCUAAAGUUCCUGAAAAUAUUUUAUAGUCACACAGCAUGGACCAAGUCUGUUUCAGUAAGUUAUAAAAAGUGCUUUUUGAUUAAUAAUUUUCUUCCCAUUAUAUUCUCUGAUAGUACUGAGGAUUAAGAUAAAGAGAAAUAAUUAUUUCUUGUACAGGGAUGUGUGCUCUGUUUCGGAUGAUUGACCAGCAAGCCCCAAGGAUCUGCCUGUCUCCACCACCCCUCGACCUCCUAGCAUUGGAACUGCAGACAGGAGCUGACACACCCAGGCUUUCACAUGGAUGCUAAGAAUGAUCUAACUCAGGUCUCAGGCUUCCACUGCAAGUGUUGCACCCACUGAGCCAUCCAUCCCGCCCCCUCUACUCUUCGGAAGUUUCCAACCCUAAUAUGGUUUCCGACAAUUGUGUCCAACAAUAAAUAUGUUUUGCUUUAGGGAGGAAA